rnacentral:lncRNA from 1 species
GUAAUUGUUGCAGAAAUUGACAGAAAACUCAUUGAAACAGUAGCAUUCAUCAACCUAUUAACAGCAACACCAAUACCAGCACCCAAUGCCCUGUACUUAAGUGGAAAUAUUUCAGCACUAUAUACCCAAGUAACAGGCCCAAGCCCUAUGUUAAAAAACAUCACAACUCCAUAAGUUGUAAUUAUGGUAUAUACCCAAGUAACAGGCCCAAGCCCAAUGUUAAAAAACAUCACAACUCCAUAAGUUGUAAUUAUGCUAAGGACCAAAGCCCAAAUAAGUUUCCCACCAGAAUUUUCUGCCAAAGUCAAGAAAAUUCCAAGUGCAGUUAAUGUCACUACCAUCCCACUUAAACUUGUUAACA